UUCUUUCCUGCAGAGAGAAAAGGUGUUAUUGACAAUCCGGAACAAAUCCUCUAAACAAGGGGUUAAAAAUUGUUUGCUCUUCAGAACAAUCCUUUGCAGAACUUCUUUAGAUAUUCUUGUAUCCUUCAUCGAAUUGCACUAGAACUUACUCUUUGCCUUUGUUUCUCCUCCUCUUUUUCUUGCUUUAACAGAGUGUACUCUUUAAGCAUUGCCAUUAGAGGUACCUGUAAUUUUAUAAAGAUUGAUUAUAUAUGGGAUGAAAAAUUUCAGUUGCAUUUCUUUUAGUUGUAGUAUGAGAUAAUAGAAGUCUUAGGUAUUAAUAAAAGAUACAUAUGAUAUCAUAGUGUGUAGUUUGUUGGUUUGGUGCCUGAAAUUACCACAAUUUUGAUUGGUUUGUGGAAGUUUAUAGAAAGAAAAAAUGAAUUUGUUACAGAAAUUGACUGUGCAUGAUACAUAAAAGAAAUCAAAGUAUAGUUUCUGAAUUGAUUAUUCAAUUGACUGAUAAAAAGCAUACUUUAUGUCCUGCUUACAAGCUUAAAGUAUGUUUCAAAUGUCUCUGUAGAGCAAAGUGAACGUUAAAUUUAUGAUAUGUUAUGUAAAGAUUAGUGUAUUUCUCUAUGUGGAGGAAAGCAUGGAUUUUUGUGAAAGAGGUGCCAAGGAUUGCUGGGACUGAUAUAUUAUUCAUGUGAAAAAUGAGAACCAAACUGACGUGCAUCACUGAGGUGCAACACAUAUUUAACUGUGUGAAACCUCUUCGACAUCACACUGGAUGGAGUCAUUUGACAAAAUCCAAACCAAGAUCUUGUUCCUAGGUUUUCUCUCAGUGCCAUUCACAUUGUAAAGCCCAUCAAACUCGAGCAAGAUAACAACUAAGCAGGAAAGCUAACAUGAGUAUUUAUUCAUGUCAGCCUUCUUCUUGAACUUCACUACUUCAAAGAUUCUCUGUCAACUAUCAGAGUUAUAGAUCCAACUGUGCUCACAUUUUUCCUUUCCAUAUCAGUCUUUUUUUCUUUCUCUUUCACCGAAUAAGUCCCAGCAACUAUCUAUGUUAGCAGCAGCACCAGGGCCCAACUAUGCUUUCACAUUUUGCCUCUCCAUAUCGGUCCUUUUUCUUUCUCUUUCACCUAAUGAUUACCAGAAACUGUCUAUGUUAACAACUUGCCUUGACAUCUAUAUGGUGCAUGCCAACAACGGGAAUGGUUAUUAAAGGGUAAGUUGUCCGGUAUUUAAAUUCUUGGAGAGGACUAUUUUAUGGUUUGUAUUCAGGAUUAGCCUUUGAUUCAACUUGCGUUGACACUGCAUGAGACUCGUAGGCUAUUGGGUACCACUACAUGUGCUCUUGCACAUAAGUUGUAAGAUUGAAAGCAGAUUUGAAUUGGCUGGGAUGAUAUGAUCAGGCCUUGGGAUCGAUCGAAUUAGAAUGAUGGGAAUGAACUCGGAUGAAAAAAUAAUUUAGUAAUCAUAAAAUUAUAAGAAUUAUAUAUAAUAUAAAUGGUAGGGCACCACAAAACACAAAAUAAAUUAUGAGAAAAUAAAUAUAUUCUUUGUUAAGAAACCUCUUUAACAUCAUAAUUCAUAACGUGUCUGUCUUUCCCAAAAAACAUAUGAAACUAUUAUAUAAAAUAUAAGAAGUUGUUGAAAAAAUAAUAAUGAAAAUGCUAGAGAAUAAUUCAUUAGAAAUAACAAUUGUAUAUAUUUUUAGAAAAUAAAUGUCAAUCAUAUUGUACAAGACUCUUAUAAUAAAUAACAAUUAUAUAAAUCAUAUAAAAGAUCCAAAAUAUAUCAUAACAAAUCAAGAGAAAACUGUUGGAUUAGUUCUGAAUCUUAUUACAAGAUAUCUAAGAUUAUUCUUUACUCUUCUCUUUUUUUUACUCCAUAUAUCCCUUCCACUCUGUCAAAUGGUAGGUAAUGCAAUCAUGGUGUUAAUGACAAAUGUGAUGAUUGGGCUUUAAUUUUGUAUAAGCAUUUUGGUCUUGUAUAUGGAAGUUAUCCUAUAUGUUGACAAAUCCUCUUUUCCUAGUUCAGUUCAGGAACUUAAAUUUCAUCGCUUGUUCUAUAAGUCUACAGUUUUCCAUAAUACCUCAAUGACAACAAUGUUUUCCUGGUAAUUUUGUUGUUGUAAAAUCUCUGAGGUGAAUUUAUGCAACUGCAGCAUCAAGGCAGCAACUGUCUCUAUUAACUGCUAAAUUAAACUUUUUUCCUUAAAAGGGUCCUACGAAAGAAUGUUGCAUUUCCAACUGGAAAUGAUACCUCCGUACAAUCCGAUAUCUGAACAUGGGAUAAUUUCAUCUCUUCUUUUUCCUUACCUGAGCAAUAUCUUGGUCUUGCAUGCUCAUGUAGGCUGGAAACAUAUGCUGUGCUAGCAGCAACUAAUUUAGGAGAAAGAAAAAAGCAAGACGUUUAUAAAAGAGAAUAUCUUGAUUUGAUUUGCUUUGCUUUUGCAGAAAUUAAGUGAGAGAAUCAGAUCGACAUGGUUUUGUUAGCUUGUCUUGCACAUAGAAAAGAAGGAAAAAGAAAAAAGAAAUUUGCGGCAGGUGUGGAGCAUGUUGUGGUAAAUCCAUAUCAGCGAGUUGUUCCACUUUGCUGUUUAAUCUCUCUAAGAUGGUGUCACUUAUGUUCCUGGAUUGCUGUGCGGUUGAACCACCUAGUAAGCUUGGGUGAAUGUCACUGAUGAUCAUGGAAGCAUCCAUUCCCAUUGUUUCAGCAAGGUUUUGCACCACCUUUAUGUAAUCUUCUACUUUCCGGAGUCUAUCAUUCUUUCAGAGUGAAGAAUGGGUGAAAAUUAAUUGGAUGAUAUAUAGAAGAAAACCGACGCUACCAAGGUUAAAGCUACCUUCUCUUUAUGAAGUCUUUGGAGUUCAUUUUGGUGCUCAUCAAGCUUUUUAAGUGAGAGAUCUCCUUCGUUUACCAGAACAUCGCAAUCCGGUUGAUGACCUGCUACUUCAGAAGCAAUUCUUUGGAUUUGUGUCUGAACCUCCCGGAAUUGGUUCAUCCGCUCUUCUUUCCUUAGCUGCAUUUCAUGAAGUGCAGGAGUGAUUGCAUCAAGCUGCUGCUUCAGUGUACCUGUCAAUUUUUCAGGCUGCUCCAAGAGAAUUUAAGCUGGCUGCACAUUUGGUGCUAUUCUUUUCUUAUUAAAUAUACUAUCAAAAGAAGUCAUCUAUAUCUCACCCGGCCUGAGAAUGAUCGUUCCCCGAGGGACAGGAGAAGGUUAGUGAACUCAGCUUCUGAAUCAGCCAGUGCUUGAUGCAGACGAACUCUCAAGAUAUUUGCACUAUCAACUUUUCUUCUAUACAUGUCGAUACAUUCCUGUUCCAGUUCAAGCAGAAUCCUCUCUCUUUCAAGCUGAUCUUGCCCCACUUCAUCCCAAAUCAGCUGUUAGCAGUUGAUAAAAUGUUCAAAGAAAGUUCAGCUAGUAUCAAUUUCAAGAACCACUGAUAUGGAAAAACCCCAACCCAAACCUUUAGCUCUUGCAGUAGAUAGCCGCAGGAUGAUUCAGGGAUUGCUGAACUUGGGAAACCGGGAAACAUUCCGAAGGAUCCCAUCUCAUAAAUUCUGGAACAGUCUCAGGGAACAGUUUUGUCAAUGUAAGUUCUUCAAGUGGUUGUAAGACAGAGCAGAUUCCCCUGAUCAAGCAUUAUUCAAGGAAGAAAUUAGAGGUGUGGUAUAAAAGGAGGAGAAAGGUGGCAAAGCUGUGAUGGAUGGUGAAAGUGGCCUUCCAAGUUGGUUUUGCUUUGAAGACACGCAGCACAACAGUGAUGGUUCCUUUGAUGAGCUUCAAAGAAAAAUAUUAAUAUAUAUAUAUAUAUAUAUAUAUAUAUAUAUCAAAUACAAGUGCACAAGCUCGCUGGUUCCCUUGUUUUUGAAGGGCCAAUCUUCCUCACUGCUUUCAAUUGUUGACACAUCGUGUUACUGGAAGCUUCAAUCUGAAGGUUAAUGUGUUGGUAAAGCUUUACAAAUGUUUGUCUUCUUUUCCAAGGGAACAUAUGGGUUGGCACAGAAGUGGAUCAGCUCCAUUUACUCGAGUCUCUGGAAUCAGCUGAUUUGCUUGUGAAGAAUGUCAUGCACUAGUUUGCUUCAAGAAAUGCCAAUUACUCCAUCAUUGAUGAGACUCGAAUGACAAUACCCACUUUAUGCUUGUGAUAUGCCUGUGUUUGCACAUGCUCAGCGCAGCCAAAGUUGAGAUUCAUUGUAAAAUUGGUAUAUUUAAACAACAACAAAAAAAGAAGAAAAUGUUACAUGUAUGGGUUGAAUAAUUAUGCACAGAGCAAGCUGAUAUAUCAGACAUCUCCUCGGUUGUUGGAAAGAUGUGGUUUGCAGUGAAAAGAAGAAUUAUCCUUGUAAUCCUUUGAGAGAACCAUCCAAAUGAUUUGGCCUCAA